AAGUGGGGAUGACGUCAAGUCCUCAUGGCCCUUAUAGUGGGGCUACACACGUCAUACAAUGGCUGGUACAAAGGGUUGCCAACCCGCGAGGGGGAGCCAAUCCCAUAAAGCCAGUCGUAGUCCGGAUCGUAGUCUGCAACUCGACUACGUGAAGUCGGAAUCGCUAGUAAUCGUGGAUCAGAAUGUCACGGUGAAUACGUUCCCGGGUCUU
rnacentral:rRNA from 1 species